GCCGCAAUCCUCGUUCAGCUCCACUGGUUUGCUCCACCCUUCUGCAGUGCUGAUAGUCGCUACUAUUAGCUUUUUCUUUUCUGGCUAGACGUGUUCGUGUUCGUCUGUGUGUUACUGUUUUUUAUUAUCAUUAUUAAUAACACUGGAAAGAUGUAUCGAGUUUGGACCCGAGUGGGUGCGAGAGCAGCAGGGAGAUUUGGACUUGAACCAGGUACGACUGCAGUGAGGAGCUCUGUUGUUGUUAGUUAUAAGGCAAAAUCUUUACUCUUCCAAAAAUCUAAGCAAAAA